AGUGUUGAGCUGGUACAGUGAGUGGAUCAGAUACAGCAGUGAUUAGCAGUGAUUAGCAUGGUGGUGGUGUAUGAGGUGUUAGUGAGUGUUGAGCUGGUACAGUGAGUGGAUCAGAUGCAGCAGUGAUUAGCACUGAUUAGCAUGGUGGUGGUGUAUGAGGUGUUAGUGUGUGUUGAGCUGGUACAGUGAGUGGAUCAGAUACUGCAGUGAUUAGCACUGAUUAGCAUGGUGGUGGUGUAUGAGGUGUUAGUGAGUGUUGAGCUGGUGGUACAGUGAGUGGAUCAGAUACAGCAGUGAUUAGCAGUGAUUAGCAUGGUGGUGGUGUAUGAGGUGUUAGUGAGUGUUGAGCUGGUACAGUGAGUGAAUCAGAUACAGCAGUGAUUAGCACUGAUUAGCAUGGUGGUGGUGUAUGAGGUGUUAGUGAGUGUUGAGCUGGUGGUACAGUGAGUGGAUCAGAUACAGCAGUGAUUAGCACUGAUUAGCAUGGUGGUGGUGUAUGAGGUGUUAGUGAGUGUUGAGCUGGUACAGUGAGUGGAUCAGAUACAGCAGUGAUUAGCACUGAUUAGCAUGGUGGUGGUGUAUGGGGUGUUAGUGUGUGUUGAGCUGGUACAGUGAGUGGAUCAGAUACAGCAGUGAUUAGCAGUGAUUAGCAUGGUGGUGGUGUAUGAGGUGUUAGUGUGUGUUGAGCUGGUGGUACAGUGAGUGGAUCAGAUACAGCAGUGAUUAGCACUGAUUAGCAUGGUGGUGGUGUAUGUGGUGUUAGUGAGUGUUGAGCUGGUACAGUGAGUGGAUCAGAUACAGCAGUGAUUAGCACUGAUUAGCAUGGUGGUGGUGUAUGAGGUGUUAGUGAGUGUUGAGCUGGUGGUACAGUGAGUCGAUCAGAUACAGCAGUGAUUAGCAGUGAUUAGCAUGGUGGUGGUGUAUGUGGUGUUAGUGAGUGUUGAGCUGGUGGUACAGUGAGUGGAUCAGAUACAGCAGUGAUUAGCACUGAUUAGCAUGGUGGUGGUGUAUGAGGUGUUAGUGUGUGUUGAGCUGGUACAGUGAGUGGAUCAGAUACAGCAGUGAUUAGCAGUGAUUAGCAUGGUGGUGGUGUAUGAGGUGUUAGUGUGUGUUGAGCUGGUACAGUGAGUGGAUCAGAUACAGCAGUGAUUAGCAGUGAUUAGCAUGGUGGUGGUGUAUGAGGUGUUAGUGAGUGUUGAGCUGGUACAGUGAGUGGAUCAGAUACAGCAGUGAUUAGCACUGAUUAGCAUGGUGGUGGUGUAUGAGGUGUUAGUGUGUGUUGAGCUGGUGGUACAGUGAGUGGAUCAGAUACAGCAGUGAUUAGCAUGGUGGUGGUGUAUGAGGUGUUAGUGUGUGUUGAGCUGGUGGUACAGUGAGUGGAUCAGAUACAGCAGUGAUUAGCAGUGAUUAGCAUGGUGGUGGUGUAUGAGGUGAUAGUGAGUGUUGAGCUG